ACGAGCGUAGCUCAAUUAGGCAGAGCAGCUGAUUCCAAAUCAGCAGGUUGGGGGUUCGAUUCCCUCCGCUCGUGCCA
rnacentral:tRNA from 1 species